rnacentral:rRNA from 1 species
UGAGUAACACGUGAGUAACCUGCCCUUGACUCUGGGAUAACCUCCGGAAACGGAAGCUAAUACCGGAUACGACGUACGGAGGCAUCUCCUGUACGUGGAAAGAACUUCGGUCAAGGAUGGACUCGCGGCCUAUCAGGUAGUUGGUGAGGUAACGGCUCACCAAGCCUACGACGGGUAGCCGGCCUGAGAGGGUGACCGGCCACACUGGGACUGAGACACGGCCCAGACUCCUACGGGAGGCAGCAGUGGGGAAUAUUGCACAAUGGGCGCAAGCCUGAUGCAGCAACGCCGCGUGAGGGAUGACGGCCUUCGGGUUGUAAACCUCUUUUAGUAGGGAAGAAGCGAAAGUGACGGUACCUGCAGAAAAAGCACCGGCUAACUACGUGCCAGCAGCCGCGGUAAUACGUAGGGUGCGAGCGUUGUCCGGAAUUAUUGGGCGUAAAGAGCUCGUAGGCGGUCUGUCGCGUCUGCUGUGAAAACCCGAGGCUCAACCUCGGGCCUGCAGUGGGUACGGGCAGACUAGAGUGCGGUAGGGGAGAAUGGAAUUCCUGGUGUAGCGGUGGAAUGCGCAGAUAUCAGGAGGAACACCGAUGGCGAAGGCAGUUCUCUGGGCCGUAACUGACGCUGAGGAGCGAAAGCGUGGGGAGCGAACAGGAUUAGAUACCCUGGUAGUCCACGCCGUAAACGUUGGGCGCUAGAUGUGGGGACCAUUCCACGGUUUCCGUGUCGCAGCUAACGCAUUAAGCGCCCCGCCUGGGGAGUACGGCCGCAAGGCUAAAACUCAAAGGAAUUGACGGGGGCCCGCACAAGCGGCGGAGCAUGCGGAUUAAUUCGAUGCAACGCGAAGAACCUUACCAAGGCUUGACAUACACGAGAACGCCCUAGAAAUAGGGAACUCUUUGGACACUCGUGAACAGGUGGUGCAUGGUUGUCGUCAGCUCGUGUCGUGAGAUGUUGGGUUAAGUCCCGCAACGAGCGCAACCCUCGUUCUAUGUUGCCAGCGCGUAAUGGCGGGAACUCAUAGGAGACUGCCGGGGUCAACUCGGAGGAAGGUGGGGAUGACGUCAAAUCAUCAUGCCCCUUAUGUCUUGGGCUUCACGCAUGCUACAAUGGCCGGUACAAAGGGCUGCAAUACCGUAAGGUGGAGCGAAUCCCAAAAAGCCGGUCUCAGUUCGGAUUGAGGUCUGCAACUCGACCUCAUGAAGUCGGAGUCGCUAGUAAUCGCAGAUCAGCAACGCUGCGGUGAAUACGUUCCCGGGCCUUG